AACGUAGGACACGAGCGUUAUCCGGAGUUACUGGGCGUAAAGGGCGCGUAGGCGGCCUGCUAAGUCACACGUGAAAUCCCUCGGCUCAACCGGGGAACUGCGUGUGAUACUGGCGGGCUUGAAUUCGGGAGAGGGAUGUGGAAUUCCAGGUGUAGCGGUGAAAUGCGUAGAUAUCUGGAGGAACACCGGUGGCGAAGGCGGCAGCCUGGACCGAGAUUGACGCUGAGGCGCGAAAGCUAGGGGAGCAAACAGG
rnacentral:rRNA from 1 species